rnacentral:tRNA from 1 species
GGUUUCAUGCGGCUCAGUUGGUAGAGCAUGGUGUUUGCAACGCCAGGGUUGUGGGUUCGUGUGGGUUCGAUUCCCACGGGGGACCA